rnacentral:lncRNA from 1 species
GGGACACAGGUCAAUGGUGUCUGAGGGCCAAGCUACUACAGGGAGAUCCCAGAAGGUCAAGUCUAAGAGGAGUUAUGCUUGACAGACUGGAAUAUUACAUUUUUCCCAAGGAACUCCUCCUCCCAUUCCUGUGAUGUGAGAUUGCAAGAACUGAGACCUCAGCUGUGAGCAGGGAAGGACCAAGUCUAGACACAAGGAAGAUGCAGAGUGUGAUUUGCAUAAAGAGCCUUAGGAUUGCUUAGUGUUGGACUGUGGUUAAGAAAUCAGCUGGUGGACUGGGUUUUAUAACAGUAACUGAAUUGGGUAAUACUUCAUAUAACUUAAAGACUGAAAUGGUUCUAUUUUCAUAAGGUAGAAGAGGAACUCAUAUCCCAAAAGUUUGAAUGGAUUAAGAAAGAUGUACAGAUGAGUGACAGAAAAUACUGAAGCUGUAUGCCUGGGUCAACAUUUUGCUCAUCUGACCCCUUGAUCUCUACCCAUGCUUGUUUGGCUAUCCACAGAGUGAUAGCUUUCCCUUGGGUAUACUAACUUGUGUGUUCUCAAAGCACUAACAAGAUGCUAAUAUAAAAGGGUAGCAACUGAGGCCAGGGUGUUACUCUACCAGGAGCCUAUGAUGACACAUGGACUUCUGACAUGAACUUCUUCAACAGAAGGACUGCCUACCUGAAAAGUCUAGUCACCUAUGCAUGAUAGUAAGCAAACAUAAUAUGCAAAAUAAAGAGGGACACCACCCUGUGCUAACUGGAACAGCAAACUGUCUGUAAGAAGCCACAGCAAUUUGUGGGAAGCUACUUUGCAGGGAUGCUUCCAGCCAUGAAUUGCCGGGUAGUUGUUUUUGGAGCUGAACAUAUCUGGAAGGUUCUUUAGUUCCUGGCAGCUGAAGAGUUAAGACAGACAUCUGCUCAGAGGGACAGGCUCCUCUCCAUGACUGCCUCCUCUUCCUUAGUCAUCUUGGCUUUGCAAUCUUCCUUAACACAUGAACCCCUAAGAUUUGGAUUUCUUUCGCUCCCAGAGGCAAGAUGAAACCUGUGUAUGUUCUCUGGACUACAGAAGCCUCAAACAUAUCCCUUGGGAGACUGCUCUGUCUUCCAGAUACCCAGAAAGCUUUGGUUCUUAAUGAAGGUCCAGAUUACAGACUCAAUCUUCUUAAUAACUUCCUCCUCUACUGUCUUGGCCAUUUAUCUUGCUGGGACAAGAUACCUGACAGAACGGGAGGAUUUAUCUCGGCUCACAGUUCCAGAGUACAGUCCAUCAUGGGGUGGAGGAGGCAUGGAGGUAGGGGCUGAGAAACACUGGUCCUCAAUUGGCUUUCUUUUUCUUUCUUUUUUUCCUAGUCAGCUCAGGACCCCAGCCUAUAGAAUGGUGCUGUGCACAUUCAGGGGGUGGGGGGGCUGCUCUACUUCAACUAACAUAAUCUGGAAACUCAAACUAAUCUCAGAGAUGUGCCCAGAGACUUGUCUUCUAGGUGAUCCUAGACCCUGAUGAGUUAAUAGUCAAUUUUACCAUUGAAAUCACUCAUUUCUUAACUUCUGGUUGGUACCUCCCACCCUUUGUUAACAUUUAUUUUACUUCCAAUUUUGUGUGUGUGUGUGUGUGUGUGUGUGUGUGUGUGUGUGUUUUAGUUUGAAUGAAAAUGGCCCCUAUAGGGUUAUACUAAGGGGCACUAUUAAGAAAUGUGGCCUUGUUAGAAUAGGUGUGGUCUUGGAGAAAGUUUGUCACUGGGGGCGGGGGUGGAGGUGGGGGGUGGACUUUGAGGUUUCAGAAGCCCAAGCCAGGACCAGCAUCACUCUCUCUUCCUGUUGCUUACUUAUUUAGAUGUAGAACUCUCAGAUACCUCUCCAAUACCGUGUCUGCCUGCAUACUUCCAUACUUCUUGCCAUGAUCGUAAUGGACUAAAUCUCUAGACUGUACACCAGCUUCAAUUAAAUGUUUUCCUUUAUAAGAGUUGCCAUGGUCAUAGUAUCUCUUCAUAGCAAUAGAACCCUAACACAGUGUAUGUGUGUUUGUGUGUGUGUGUGUUUACAGGUGCCUACAGAAACAAUAGAUGGUAUUAGAUACUCUGGAGCUACAGUUACAGGUGGUUGUAAACAUUCCAAAUUGGAUGCUGGGAACCAAACUCAGGCCCUCUGCAAGAGCAGUAAGCAUUCUUCACCACUGAUCCCUAUCUUAGCUCCUCGACCUUCCACUCUUUAAAUUAUUAGUUUGGCAGGUUAGAUUAGAAAGAACUUUAUUGAUCCAUUUGGUAAUAUCACCUGAUAAAAUUUCCUUUUUGAGGGGAGGAUGCUGUCUUCUAGAUCACUACACAUGUCCAAGUGUAUUUUGGUAAGUAGAAGAACUCCCUUCUCCAAUGGUGGCUUGUUCUGUGGGUUUAUAUCAUUCUUAUCACUUUUUAGAAAGAAAAUGCAAAACAACAUGGCCCCAAAUUCUAAGAAUGGUUUUAUAAAACUAUGAAGACUUUGUGCUUCAUACUCCUUAACAACUCUCUUAAACAUUACCCUCUCCCUCUUAAUCCAUACAGCUUCUAUUUUAAGCAUAAUAUCUAUGCAUAUAAAUAAUCCACAUUAUUUUCAUUUAUAUGUUCUUAAAACUUCUUCCCUGCAAUGUUUGUGGCUACUUGCUAUUCCAUCAACUUGAUGCAAUAGUCUCAGUCUUUCUAUAAGAGCCCAUUUAUUUUUAUGAGCAUCAUUCUUCUAGCCAACCUUGUGCUGGCUAGAAUAGUUCAGACCAAUGUCAUGUAUCUUAUCCUCAUUUUGGUCCUUCAGAAUGAGAAAGAGGCCAAUUGUCACAAGAGGCCAGCAUCAGAAACCAGAAACUGCAAGCCAAAACUCUAUAAGACAGAUUUCUGGGCAGAGGUCUACAGGGUCAAAGGUUAAGGUGAGGACUGAGAGGCAGGAUGUCAAUACCACAUAGGGUUUGAAGGUCAAAACAGGGGCCUGGGGUGCUUAGUGCUACAAGAGAAGCAACACUGUGGAAGGUGGGGUACCUCCCUUCCCCAGAGACUGUUUGCUUUCUGUCCUUCAUUCAUCCUUCUUGCUAUAUUUGGUGGAUCCUGGGGUCACAGGGGAUAGGCGAGUCUCAUAAGGGCCACUUAGGACUGAGAUAAUUUUGUAUAUAUUGCUCUGUCCCUGACAACACUGGAAUUACAAUAAUAUAUCCUAAAAUGCCAAAUUUCUGCCUCCCAAGAGUGACUGUGCAUGAGUCCCACACAUAGUCUCUACUGUACAGGGAACAACACCUAGAGACCCACUCUCUGUGAUCAAGUGGGCAGCUGACUCACAAGCAGCCCAAGGGCUUACAAAAGCCAAGAGGGCUUGUCUGAUUUCUCGUUGGAAAGUUUUGCUUUUUUUUGAGACUUAGAGAUCAUGGCCAGAGUAUGAUAAACUCUGGACGAAGUAAAGGACUCUAUCAGGUAUGAUGAGGGACGAGGGAUGAAGUUAGAAGGCCAUGGCAGCCAAGCAUGUACAAGAGAAACAAAGCAGGCGUCCUCAUGGGAAGUCACUUCAGAAUAAUAAUAAUAAAAAAGCCCUUCCUAGAUACUGCCGUUUAGCCCUCACCAUGACCUCCUCACCUUCACUCAGAUUAGCUUACCCACACCUUUUAAAAAAUUACAUCUCUGCAUUUUCCCUCCAAGAACAUCCCGCACGAAUUCCUCUUCUCUCCAAUUAAAGUUUGCUGAAACAAGGACCCUAACAGUGAAACCUUAAUAAAUACCCAGUUGUUAUCCAGAGAUGCCUCUCUCUCUCUCUCUCUCUCUCUCUCUCUCUCUCUCUCUCUCUCUCUCUCUCUCUCUCUCUGUGUGUGUGUGUGUGUGUGUGUGGUUGCCUUAAUGUCACAUCUCCAACACACUGGAAGUCUGGCAAGAAAAACCAAAGAGUCCAUUGCCCACUUUGACAGGUAGACGAUGAAAGCAAUUAAGAAAUGAGUUUCCUGAAUGGCUUUUUACCUUCAAGGUCAAGGCUUGACUCACUGGCACCUUGGCAGAGGCAUGUAGUCAGGGGAAAGAAAAGAAAUCAUUUCUAAAGAUGACAGGCUUCUGAGCAGAUGGCUAGUAAAUCAGGGUCCUGAUGUGAAAUAUUGAUGCUUUGUAGUGUGUGUGUGUGUGUGUGUGUGUGUGUGUGUGUGUGUGUGUGUGUAUAUGUGUGUGUCAGGGGGUAGGGGGGUUUGGGUGACACAUUAGCUAAGUUAAUCACAUAGAUCAGACUCCAGGAAUCCACUGGUCACUGUCCAUUCAAUGUGAGCAGACCCUGACCGUGAGGGAGGGAACCAUAAAAGCUAUUUAGAGACUCCGAUCAAGCAGGGAUCAAAGGGGGAUGAAGAUCAAGGUGACAUUUAUACUUACAAAGGUCUCUAAAGAAGAAACUAUCACUUGCAAAUGAACUAGGUAUGAACCCUUCGUGGGCUUCCAGAAGGAAGAGGCUCACCUAAGAUUGAUAUUAUUGGGCACCACACACUGUCAUGAUGGCUUCUUCAAUAUAUCUGUAGCAAUGCCAACCACAAGCAUGUGAUACAAAGAGCCUAGAAAGGAACCAAUUGUGUCCAGACAUGAAAUCUCUGAAGAUCAGCAGUGGGUUGUGGGCCACUACUGAAUUUUCUGUUACGUGUUGAUUCACUGGGACAUGUAAUUAUGUAAUUCUUGCUCCUUAGAGUGGGCUGCUCUAUGUAUCAAAAGAUGGCCUAGUCGGCCAUCACUGCAAAGAGAGGCCCAUUGGACUUGCAAACUGUAUAUGCCCCAGUACAGGGGAACCCCAGGGCCAAAACGGUGGAGUGGGUGGGUAGUGGAUUGGGGGGGGGGUGGGUAUGGUGGACUUUUGGGAUAGCAUUGAAAAUGUAAACGAGGAAAAUACCUAAUAAAAAAAAAGAGUGGUUUGCCAAAAAAAAAAAAAGAGUGGGCUGCUCUUCUUCUGGGAGGUUUCCCUGGGGCUGGAAUCAAUCAAGAUGAACCUGGAUAACUUGCUGCAGAGUGGACAGAUGAUG